rnacentral:rRNA from 1 species
UACAGAGGGUGCAAGCGUUGUUCGGAAUUACUGGGCGUAAAGCGCGUGUAGGUGGCUCAUGAAGGCUGUGGUGAAAGUCCGGGGCUCAACCUCGGAUCGGCCGUGGCGACUCGUGGGCUGGAGCACUGUAGAGGCGGGUGGAAUUCCGGGUGUAGCGGUGGAAUGCGUAGAGAUCCGGAAGAACACCAGUGGCGAAGGCGGCCCGCUGGGCAGUGGCUGACGCUGAAGCGCGACAGCGUGGGGAGCAAACAGG